rnacentral:lncRNA from 1 species
GAGCCUGGUAGAUCCAAUCUCAUUAAAGCAGAUAACGCUGCUGCUGUUUGUUGUGACACUGUUUGUGUGAGUGACAAGCAAAGGGUUAACUCCAGGGAAUUGGGAAUAUUGCCUGGCUGCUAAUAACACCUCCAUCCCUGCACCCCAACGGGAUGGGAGUCACAGGGAUGGGGGACAGAGAGAGGACAGGGACCCGCAUGCAUCGUUCCCACCUCCUGGAAACCACGCGGAGAGGAGCAGCCCUGCGCUCCAGCCCGGUCAGCAGAGGAAUCUGCACACGCAGACAGGAUCGCUGCAAUCGCUGGUGGCUGAGGAUGAUUCCGACACGAGGAGGAUCCCUCCGUCCUCACCUCGCCGGGUUUUGCGCCGUGUGAACAUUGCAAGGCCGUCUAUCGCUGCACCUGCCCCUAUAUGUAUUGCUGUACCUGCCCCAUAUAUAUUGCUGUACCUGCCCCAUGUAUAUUGCUGUAUCUGCCCCUAUAUUUGUUGCUGUACCUGCCCCAUGUGCUGCUGCACCUGCCCUGCACGUGCGUUGGGACGGGGGGUCAGGUCGGCAGCUUUGCACAGAAGGUCGCAUGGAAAACGUUGCAAGCAAGGAUGGGUUGGAAUGUAAAAGAUUUAUUAAUUUAAUCCGAAGCAUUAAAAGGUCAUGUAUUAAUCAAAGAGAUGCUUAAAACUGUCAAAGUCCUUUGUCAGGUUUGAAGUGCAUCUCUAUAGUUAUCAUAAAAUAUAUAUAGAUAUCAGUCUGGCACGGAGCCCUCACUGGGCUGGGAGUGGAGGGG